rnacentral:lncRNA from 1 species
UUCAGCCCAAAAAUUAAGAAUCAAUGGAAUGUUUGUCUAUCCGUGAACAUCUAUUCUAUUUGUAUAUCUAGGGGAUCUCUCUAUACAUAUACAUAUAAAAGUGUUUUCUGGCAUGAUAUUGUUUGAUAUGUUCAUUCAGUACCAAUACAAACUAAAACUACACCAAAGUGGAAGGGCCACUAUAGAAGCUAGAAGUAGCUANN